GGGCUGUGGAGUAUGGCAUCAAUAAACUCCCUCUGAAGGAGGCUCUUCUGAGGCAUACAAGAUUUGUGGAUGUGCAGCAGAGUGAGUGUGGGGUGGAAGAUGCCCUAUACUUUAUAGACAGAUUUCAGGAACUACUACCUUUCCAUGGGCCGGAGGAACAGGACAAGGUGUGUGAGCAGUUCCUGGAAUAUCAGCUGAUGGAUAUCCCCAUGCCCCAAGAUCCCACCACCUUUAAUGUUGAGGAGUUUUGGGGGAGUAUGUCCUCAAUCAAGUGCAAGGUGACCGGUUUGAGCCAGUUUGGGAGGCUCACUAAAAUAGCUCAACUUGUUCUAGUGCUCCCUCACUCUAAUGCCGACGCGGAGAGGGUUUUCUCGAUGGUUGGACUGAACAAGACAAAAACUAGGAACAGCUUGGCCCUAGAUGGAACACUGUCCUCCAUCAUGACAGUGAAGAUGGCAGGCCUGGAACCAAACUGUUUCAGAUGGGAGCCACCAACCCCAGUGCUGAAGGCCUCAAAAACUGCCACCAACACCUACAACAAAAAACACUGACACACACACACACACACACACACACACACACACACACACAC